UCCAUUAUCUUCUAUUCCAUAUCCAAAGACCCCACUCGUUUCGAAGUAAUGUAUAAAACAAACAAACAAACAGGAGGUUUCCGGUCUCCCAUAGAAAUUAAGGGGUUUCACAUGCCUCUGUUCCCUCGUACACAAGAUAGAAACUUGACCAAGCUAAUUGAUACAACAUAGUUCGAAGACAAGAAUGAUGAAAAAUCGGAUUUGGAUUUGACAACGUUUUCCAUGGUUCACGCUUUCCAGCACCCAUUUUUCAUUGACUCGUUUCAAA
rnacentral:lncRNA from 1 species